rnacentral:lncRNA from 1 species
UUAAAGAGAUAAAAAUCUUCUUUUCAAAAAGUAAAUAUAUAAUUAUAUAAUUAUAUUUAGGAAGAUGUUAUUUGUUUCUACCUUAAUUAUUAAAAGUAAAAAUAUUGAUUAUGCCUCAAUUAUCAAAAAAUAUUUUGUAAUCUUAUUUAAUUUAGGGAUUUCGUUGCCAUCCUGAAUGGUUUUGAUGGUUCCACCUUCACUUUCAAAGAGGACGUC